rnacentral:rRNA from 1 species
GUGGGGAAUUUUGGACAAUGGGGGCAACCCUGAUCCAGCCAUGCCGCGUGCGGGAAGAAGGCCUUCGGGUUGUAAACCGCUUUUAGCCGGGAAGAAAAGGCGCGGGCUAAUACCCCGUGUUUUUGACGGUACCGGCGGAAUAAGCACCGGCUAACUACGUGCCAGCAGCCGCGGUAAUACGUAGGGUGCGAGCGUUAAUCGGAAUUACUGGGCGUAAAGCGUGCGCAGGCGGUUCGUUGUGUCGGUGGUGAAAGCCCCGGGCUCAACCUGGGAAUGGCCAUGGAAACUGGCGAACUGGAGUGUGGCAGAGGGGGGUGGAAUUCCGCGUGUAGCAGUGAAAUGCGUAGAGAUGCGGAGGAACACCGAUGGCGAAGGCAGCCCCCUGGGCUAGCACUGACGCUCAGGCACGAAAGCGUGGGGAGCAAACAGGAUUAGAAACCCCAGUAGUCC